GAUCCAUGCAUCUUGCCCAAAGAUCCAGGUGAAGGCUAUUGCUGCACGGGACAUACGAGCUACAAAUAUAGAUUCUUCUACAACACCUGCACAAGAAAGUGUGAGCCAUUUUACUACACUGGUAUCAAAGGCAACAUUAACAACUUCUUGACAUGUGGUCACUGUCGACUUACCUGCAUGGGUUAUGACCAAACGUCCGGCUGAUUACAAGUAAAGCCAAAUACACUUGYAAAAGACCUGCUCAAUGUAAUAAAGAUAUUUCUAUUUCCCCGUAGCUUACUGAAUAAAGAUAUAUUUUUUUCCU